UUUAACAGAAAACAUUGCCUCCAGAAU
rnacentral:piRNA from 1 species